rnacentral:rRNA from 1 species
UCCAGAGGGUGCGAGCGUUAAUCGGAAUUACUGGGCGUAAAGGGCGCGUAGGCGGUUAAAUAAGUUAGAUGUGAAAUCUCCGAGCUUAACUUGGGAACUGCAUAUAAUACUGUUUAGCUAUAGUAGAAGAGAGGGGAGUGGAAGUUCCGGUGUAGCGGUGAAAUGCGUAGAUAUCGGAAAGAACACCAGUUGCGAAGGCGGCUUCCUGGAUUCAUAAUGACGCUGAGGCGCGAAAGCAUGGGGAGCAAACAGG